UACCUGGUUGAUCCUGCCCACAGUCAUAUGCUUGUCUCAAAGAUUAAGCCAUGCAUGUGCAAGUAUGAACCAAUUUGAACUGUGAAACUGCGAAUGGCUCAUUAAAUCAGUUAUAGUUUGUUUGAUGGUACGUGCUACUCGG
rnacentral:ncRNA from 1 species